rnacentral:rRNA from 1 species
CCUACGGGUGGCAGCAGUGGGGCAUAUUGCACAAUGGGGGAAACCCUGAUGCAGCGACGCCGCGUGAGUGAAGACGUAAUUCGUUAUGUAAAGCUCUAUCAGCCGGGAAGAAAAUGACGGUACCUGAGUAAGCAGCCCCGGCUAACUACGUGCCACCAGCCGCGGUACUACGUAGGGGGCAAGCGUUCUCCGGAUUUACUGGGUGUAAAGGGAGCGUAGACGGCAGUGCAAGUCUGGAGUGAAAGGCUGGGGGUCAACCCCCGGACUGCGCUGGAAACUGUACGGCUGGAGUGCAGGAGAGGUAAGUGGAAUUCCUAGGGUAGCGGUGAAAUGCGUAGAUAUUAGGAGGAACACCAGUGGCGAAGGCAGCUUACUGGACUGAAACUGACGUUGAGGCUCGAAAGCGUGGGGAGCAAACAGGAUUAGAUAGCCGGGUAGUC